rnacentral:rRNA from 1 species
AUGGAAGCAGAACUCACAGCACUAGAUUCAGCUACGGUCGAAGCAGAUUGGCUUCGCCGACUCUUGAAUGACUUGCCCGUUGUUGAGAAACAUGUACCGGGUAUCCUUAUGAAUUGCGACAAUCAAACUGUGAUCACGAAAGUGAACAGCUCAAAGGAUAACAUGAAGUCAUCAAGACACGUUCAGAGAAGGUUAAAGUCUGUCAGAAAAAUGAGAAACUCCGGAGUUAUUGCAUUGGAUUAUAUCCAAACGUCUAAAAAUCUGGCAGAUCCUUUUACUAAGGGUCUAUCAUGUAAUGUGAUAGAUAAUGCAUCGAGGGAGAUGGGUAUGAGACCCAUAAUAUGA